GACGAACGCUGGCGGCGUGCCUAAUACAUGCAAGUCGAGCGCUUCGUUCCUCCCGAUUGCUUGCACUCAAUUGGGAAGGGGGGGUGCGUACGGCUUGGUAACACUUGCUUAACCUACCCGUCAGAUGGGGAUAACACUUGGAAAUAGCUGCUAAUACCUCAUAACAGUUUAUGCCGCAUUGCAAGAGAGUUAUGCUCGCUUUCAUGUAUCGCUGAUGGAUGGACCCGCGGUUCAUUAGCUAGUUGGUUUGGUAACGGCUCACCAAGGCCACGAUGCAUAGCCGACCUGAGAGGGUGAUCGGCCACACUGGGACUGAGACACGGCCCAGACUCCUACGGGAGGCAGCAGUAGGGAAUCUUCGGCAAUGGACGAAAGUCUGACCGAGCAACGCCGCGUGAGUGAAGAAGGUUUUCGGAUCGUAAAACUCUGUUGUUAGAGAAGAACAAGGACGUAAGUAACUGAACGUGCCCUGACGGUAUCUAAUCAGAAAGCCACGGCUAACUACGUG
rnacentral:rRNA from 1 species